GGUCCAGUGGUCAAAAGGCAUGUCUUCCCUAGUGAAGACGCAGGUUUGAUUCUUGCUUGGACCA
rnacentral:tRNA from 1 species